rnacentral:rRNA from 1 species
UACAGAGGGGGCAAGCGUUGUUCGGAAUUACUGGGCGUAAAGCGCGCGUAGGCGGCUUUGCAAGUCGAGUGUGAAAUCCCCAGGCUUAACCUGGGAACUGCAUUCGAGACUGCAUAGCUAGAGUAUGGGAGAGGGAAGUGGAAUUUCAGGUGUAGCGGUGAAAUGCGUAGAUAUCUGAAGGAACAUCAGUGGCGAAAGCGACUUCCUGGACCAAUACUGACGCUCAUGUGCGAAAGCGUGGGGAGCAAACGGG